UGCGGAUGACAGCGGCCAGGGAGGUGAACUAUGUUGACAGACUUGCAGAUGAAUAUGCAGCCCAGUAUACGAAUACAUUUCCCAUCUGCGUGGCAAUGAAACAGCUUCAUAUAACUCAACAAAGGAGACAUUGAUUUAGUAAAGUGAGGAUGUAUCCAUCAGCACUAAGUUACAGCUGUUCUUAAUGGAUUUUAAAAUACAAAAGCUAUUUCACCUC